UUAUUUUACUUUUAAAUAGUCCAAAUAAAUAUUUAAAGAUUUAUCUUUUCAUCUAUUUAUUUCAUUAAUCAUCUACGAAUGUGUCUUUUUUCUUAAUUGUUCAAUUUUUAUACUAUUCUUUUAAGAAAUCUAAAAAAUAGCAUCUACUACUUAAUGAACCAACUUUUACAAAUUAAUUUUAGUAAAAAUAUAAUUUAUACUACCGAACUAACACAACUUUACGUUUUGGAAUAUGACUUAUCCUUUUUCAUUUACAAAUAUUCAUUCCUAACUAUAACUAUGUUUUUUCCUAAUUCUAAGCAUUCUAACUAUACCAUCUAUCUAUCUAUAUUAAUAAAGUUGGAUUAUGCUCUCUCCUCAUGCGUCUACGUCAGCAAGGACAUAUGGGCAAAACUAGACAUGCUGCAUACAUCAAAUAAAAAAACAAUUGCCAGGAACAUAAGAAGUCAAAAACAGAAACAUCCAAUGAAACAAUAAAAUCUAAAUGUUUAGCCUUUCCUAUUUAAUCAGAAACAACAUAAUCUGAAGCAAGGGAAUCACCCUGAAUAAACGUCUUUGUGAAUCACAUAGACAUAUGGCAAAACAAGAGGUGCACACAUAGACAUAUGGGCAAAACUGGACAUGUGGCAUCGUACAGCCUAGAUAUAAACCUAAUUUACAAUGUUGGCCAUGAGGAUAAUGCAGAGGGUGUUGUAAGCUAGCUUAUUGCAAACAGUUGAUCAUUCAUCCUUGCAAAUUCUAAACAUGUUAUCCUUAUUGUCUAUGUGUGCUAGGUACCGUGUCUAGAAGGCAUUGUUGGCAGCACUGUGACCUUCCAAUUAAAGCUCUCUCCAUUCAACUUCACUUCCAGACAUCAUAGACUCACUAUCUCUCGUAUUUUCGAAAGCCACCAGCGGCCCCCUACAUUUGUUUGAGAUCACGUAAGUUUGAAUUCUAUUGUAAAAAAUGUGUCCAACAUUUUCAUGUUCUUGACUGUUAUUUGCAAUUUCUAAUGGACAGCGUGGUGAUGAGCACCCUGGUGAUGACAUGCUUGGUUGUGGCACUUUGAAAAAGACUCCUCUAGGUUUGAACAGUCCUCACCUUAACCAAAGUGGCUGCAAUGGUGAUUCAAAUGUUAAGGGCAAGAGAGCAGCAAGAGAUGUUUCAUGUGAGACCCUUGACAUUGACAAUAAUACUGGAGAAGACGAACUAGCUAACGAGGAUAGGCCUUCCGACAAGAGAAUGCAAAAACUAAAAUUCCAAGCACCCGAGUGAAUGUUCACACGAUACUGACACAAGCUAUCUGCAUUUUUUUGUCAACGACACAAGCUAUCUGCAUUGUUUGCUUUUUUGUAAUGUUAUAAAAUUCAAAAGCUAAGAAUUCUUCUCAUUCUAAUAUUAUGUUUUUAAUGUUUUAAUGGUUUUUAUAUUUCUCUGGGAACUGUUCCUCUGAAUUUAAUGCUUAAAUAACUUCUAUUGCGUACUCAACCCUCUAUCUUUAUAUGGUGAUUAAAAUCUACUCAUGAUAAUUACUUUCUUAAUUAGGUUUAUAUCUAGGCCGAGAAUAGGAGGCGGUAAAAAAGGUGUAUGACACACAAUUGGGGACCGCCCACUAUUUUGCUCCAUUCACAGAUUCAACAACAUAUUUUAAAAAAGGUAAGAGAUACACACGUGGAUGAAAAAUUGUUUGUCCUUUAGCGAAAAAGAUGGGAGCACCGCUUUUAUCACGUAAAUGGAGUAAUUCAAGUGGAUCAUCUAUCUAUUCACACAAACCAAGGGAAAAAAAAUAUAUAUCACGAAAAUAUAAACAAUAUAUGUCUAUAAAUAGAAUACUUGUCUUCUUAUUAUACUCACAACUGAAUCAAAGCUUUUAUAUUUCAAGCAAUACGCUUAGCUAUUUUUACUUUGGUCCAGAACAUCAGCAGAAGACUUCUUUCCAGCAUCAACAUUUUUUAAAAUCCAAAUUUUAUUAAUUUUCCUGAGAAAUUUGUGAGAACAUCAGCACAAGACUUCCUUCUAUCAUCAGCAUCUAUUAAAAUCCAAAACUUUAUUAAUUUUCCUGAGAAAUUAGUGAGGUAUGGAAUCUAAUCGUUGGCAAAGCUUAAAUUCUCAAAGGCAAGCAGACAUCAAUCUUCCUAACGAAACAUCAGCACGGAUGAUGAUUUUGCUGAAAUAAUGGGACAAACACAUGUUGGCAACACCGAAGCGGAGACGGAUACUAAUGAGAUGAAAGCACCAGAUAUAGCUGAUGGAGAUUUAAUGGCGAAUAUCAGAGAACAAAUUGCAAAUGCAUUAUGGGCCAAUAAAAAUAUUUUGUAAUAUUUUUUACUAAUGUUUUUAUUUGAAUUUAUGUUAUGUUUUUGUUUCAUAAAAUAUUAUGUAUUUGUUGCAUUUGUUUUUUAAAAAAAAUUGUAACUGAAAAUGAAAUAAAAAGUUUCUAUUUUAUAGAAUGAAUUAUGAAAUUAUAAUCUGAACCAUCUUUUAUCCGCUUUCACCAUUCAAACAAAUAUUUCAGACCGUUAGAUCCGCUCUUGUUCUGCUAGAUCUGCUCGAUCCGCAACGCUUGAUCCGCUUUCUCCAUUUGGAACCCUAACCAAUAUGAGGUGAAUGUUAAUUACGACGCCACAUGAAGCACAAGUGAAGUUUAAGUUCCUUAUUGCAAGAAAUCUUCUGCAACUAAAUAAGAUGACUGAACCUAUUUCAUAGCUAAUUAAAUAGUAUUAAUUCAAAACACCACCAUAAUCAGAGGUGAGAGAGUACAAGAAAUUAUGAUUAACUAACAUCAGAAACUAAAAACAUGACCACUCACUUAACCCUUCACGAUACCAAUCACAAGUACCGCUCUCUAACCUACACCUUAAAAACACAACAGUUCAAACAGUACUCAAUAAUAUAAACCAUCCUAUUACAUUGACCAACAUCUUACCCGAAUAAAACACAAACAUUUACAUUUUUUCUUCAGGAGCAUCAACUUUAUGUUAUAUUUAAAUUUCAACUGAAUUUAAUUUGUUAUGAUUAUCAUCAACUUUUUAUUCUACGAAUCAAUCAGUCACAACCACUUAUGAUAUUCCACAUUAACCUAAGAAACUUUAAAACAGAGUAAUAUACUACAAUCGCUAACCACUAUCAAAUAGAUCAGAAAAAUUCAUUCUCUUUCAACAUAUAUGCAACUUCAUAUUUUUGAACAUAUUUUUGUCACUAAAACCAUAAAAAAAUUGUAAAUUCAUUCAUUUGAACAAAAAAAUUAUAAAUUCAUUUAAGAAUAAAAUAUAUGAAUCCGGCGCGAAAGACCACUAGUGUAAUCAUAUUUGGACUGUACAUACAUUUUUAAAUAGUUUCAACUCUCAAGCAAAUCAUUACCAAGGAAGAUGUUUUAACUUUAUAAAUUACAAUAUAAAUUGAAUAAAUGAUUAGAUGUAUAUCAUAUUUGGUAUUAAUAUAUUUGUAGUUUUAUUACAGCUAAUUUAUGAACAAUAUAUAGAUUUUUAAUAUUAUCAAUAAAUGAAUAUAGUUGUAUGUAAGAUAGUUUUACAACACAUGUAUCCAAAUGCAAUUAUAUUAAAUGUGGCAUAUUUUUGGGUGUUUUUCAAAACCAACCGACUUUUUCAAGUCAAACCCAAAACCAAUCCUUUUUUUUUGUCCAUACUAUUCAUCAUUAAAAUUUCUAUAUUAUCCCUAUGUUUUGAAUUAUUUACAAAAUUGCCAUUUUUAUUUAAUUUUUUAUUAAUUUCGAAAUUAGCAAAAGACCAAAUACACCCUAACCAUUAUUCUUAUUUACAAAAAUGUCAUCAUCAUCAAUUUUUCCAACCACCAUGAACCACCAUUUUUGAGCUCUAAAGCUCUAGAAUUCAAUUUUCAACCACUUUUUUCUCACUCUAACCCAAAAAACUUCAUUUCCUCUUAUCUCCUCUACAUUUCCAUCUAA